AUUAAGGGCGCACGGUGGAUGCCUUGGCACUAGAAGAAGAGGAAGGACGUUACUAACGACGAUAUGCUUUGGGCAGCUGUAAGUAAGCGUUGAUCCAGAGAUUUCCGAAUGGGGGAACCCAGCAUGAGUUAUGUCAUGUUAUCGACAUGUGAAUUUAUAGAAUGUCAGAAGGCAGACCCGGAGAACUGAAACAUCUUAGUACCCGGAGGAAGAGAAAGAAAAAACGAUUCCCUGAGUAGCGGCGUGCGAAACGGGAAGAGCCCAAACCAACAAGCUUGCUUGUUGGGGUUGUAGGACACUCUAUACGGAGUUACAAAAGAACAUGUUAGACGAAUCAUCUGGAAAGAUGAAGCAAAGAAGGUAAUAAUCCUGUAGUCGAAAACAUAUUCUCUCUUGA
rnacentral:rRNA from 1 species